AGAGUAGAUAUCCAAGUACAAGGAACCUGAUCCGUCAGAUUGUUUACUACUGCUAAAAGCGCUUUGUGAAGUUAGAGCUCAGCAACAUGGUGCAGUGUCAUACAUCAAUGAUGCUUUAAAAGAAGGAACCCAAAUUUCAACUUUUCACAAAGAUGCCAUAGGAAGAGAUAGAACUGACACAUCUUACUGAUAAUUUAUCCUUUUUAAAAAUGUUCCAAAUCUUAUGAAGAUUCUCAAAACCUUAAAAUUGUUGUUGCUAACGUGUCUAUUUUUUGUUAUAGGUAUGAUGCAACUUCAAAAGGCCAGAGUCACAGAUUGUACAGGGAGAUUAUCACAUCAGACUCAAUUCCAAAUGAUAAGGAUGAAGGAUGUUUAUCACUCCCCACCAUUCAAUGGGAAACACUUGCUUCCAAUCUUGAAGAUUUUUCAAAAGUAGCUGAAAAAUUUGCAUUCAGCAAGUGUGCUGCAGAAGUUGCUGUUAGCCUGAAGCUUCAAGAUGAUGCUAUUCCUGCUCUUGAAAAGCUAAGGAAGAAGAAAGAAAGAGCAAUAAAGCAAAAGCAAAGGCAGGAUAUGCUGUUAAAAAAGGAUUUUCAGAAUCCUCAUUAUUCUGGAAAUACACGCUCUUGUCAUGCUCGAAGGCCUAUUAGUUAUACAUUUGAAGCUUAUGAUCGAACAAUGAAGGAGGCCAUACAGCUAACAAAUAAAAGGACAAAGUUUCCUGUUGCUGAACAAGAUAAAUCCGGAGGAUCUGAAAAUAAAUCCAACACAAGAUAUUUCAACAGACAGUGAUUCGGAAAGGGUUAUGUCUCCAAUAUAUGAUAGUGAUGACACUGGUUACAAAGUUGAGAAUCAUGGUAGCAGUGAGGAGGAUGCUGCUGUUGAUGGUGAGUUGGGCAACUUGGAAACACCCUCAAGCCAUGCAGUUUUUUAUCCAAAAGGGUUUCGCUGCUGCAAGCAGUUAGCUGGAGUUCCUAGCCACACUAUUUUAGAAAGCCAAGGCAAAGACCCACCCGCAAUUCUGCUAUGGAAUCUGUCAUCGUAUCUGAUUCAGAGGACGAAGCACGUGAAGGGAAGAGAGAUUUGUCCGAGUCUACUUAGGCCUGGUAUUAACCUGUAUUUUGGCUAAAGCAUGCAAAGCGAGCAGUGGCAUAGGAUAUUUGUCGUCAAAAUUUGGGGAGAUUUGAAGCUAUCCUUUUUCUUGGAUUAUCAUUAUACCUAAUUUUUUGUCUCUUGAAGAGAUCCUAGAAAUUUCUGAAAUAUUUGAGUAUAUAGUAUACAGAUAUGGCUAAUGAAUCUCUAUACCGUUAGUUUGACGCA